rnacentral:rRNA from 1 species
GAUGAACGCUGGCGGCGUGCCUAAUACAUGCCAGUCGAGCGAACAGACGAGGAGCUUGCUCCUCUGACGUUAGCGGCGGACGGUUGAGUAACACGUGGAUAACCUACCUAUAAGACUGGGAUAACUUCGGGAAACCGGAGCUAAUACCGGAUAAUAUAUUGAACCGCAUGGUUCAAUAGUGAAAGACGGUUUUGCUGUCACUUAUAGAUGGAUCCGCGCCGCAUUAGCUAGUUGGUAAGGUAACGGCUUACCAAGGCAACGAUGCGUAGCCGACCUGAGAGGGUGAUCGGCCACACUGGAACUGAGACACGGUCCAGACUCCUACGGGAGGCAGCAGUAGGGAAUCUUCCGCAAUGGGCGAAAGCUUGACGGAGCAACGCCGCGUGAGUGAUGAAGGUCUUCGGAUCGUAAAACUCUGUUAUUAGGGAAGAACAAAUGUGUAAGUAACUAUGCACGUCUUGACGGUACCUAAUCAGAAAGCCACGGCUAACUACGUG